rnacentral:rRNA from 1 species
GAUGAACGCUGGCGGCGUGCCUAAUACAUGCAAGUCGAGCGAAUGGAUUAAGAGCUUGCUCUUAUGAAGUUAGCGGCGGACGGGUGAGUAACACGUGGGUAACCUGCCCAUAAGACUGGGAUAACUCCGGGAAACCGGGGCUAAUACCGGAUAACAUUUUGAACCGCAUGGUUCGAAAUUGAAAGGCGGCUGCGGCUGUCACUUAUGGAUGGACCCGCGUCGCAUUAGCUAGUUGGUGAGGUAACGGCUCACCAAGGCAACGAUGCGUAGCCGACCUGAGAGGGUGAUCGGCCACACUGGGACUGAGGCACGGCCCAGACUCCUACGGGAGGCAGCAGUAGGGAAUCUUCCGCAAUGGACGAAAGUCUGACGGAGCAACGCCGCGUGAGUGAUGAAGGCUUUCGGGUCGUAAAACUCUGUUGUUAGGGAAGAACAAGUGCUAGUUGAAUAAGCUGGCACCUUGACGGUACCUAACCAGAAAGCCACGGCUAACUUCGUGCCAGCCGCCGCAGUAA